rnacentral:lncRNA from 1 species
CACAGCCCUCUCUUGUCCAAGCUUAAGAUAGUACCUGUGGAGCAGUCACCAGGGAAGAAAGGCUUUCCGAGGGUGACAAUGUCUGACGAGCCGAUGGAGAGAGGAGCAACAGCCAAAGAGCCAGGUCCGUUGCAGAGUAGACUGGGAGGACAGAAGAGCCCGUCACCUGUGGCGUUGGAAGUGUUAGAUCUGAAGUGCUGGGUCGGAAUUUUGUACUUGAGUUUUUGUGCAUAUACUUUUAAAAAAUAGAAACCCACAUUUUUAUAUGUAAUUCCAUUUUUAGAUAACUAGAAGUAAUAGAAUAUAAAUUCUUUAAAAACCUAAAUAUUUUCUGUAAUGUUAGUAUGGAAAACAUAAUAUAAAACAAUUAUAC